CCUCUCUACAGACUGGGCUGAAGUGAAACCCCAGAGCCAAACACUCCUCCUGGGCAGUGCACUCUAACCUUGAAUGCUCAGAUGCUGCUUAGCACUGUCAGAGCAGCUGUUGCUGGGGGAUUCUCCCAGUACUUUCCAACAGCAGGAAAGUAUUAAAUCCUCCUUUGACUGCUGGGGACAGAGCCCUAGAGAGGGGAGCAACUUGCCCAAAGUCCCCCAGGAAAAGGAAAACAACCAGCAGUGGAACCAAUAGGAAACCCAGCAAUGGAACUCAGGAACCCUGGGGGUGUGCUGGG